UAGGUGAAAGUGUAAACAUUUUGAAAGCUUAUGGAGAUUCUAUGAGAAGAACAGAAAUAGGAAGGAUCAAAGUUUCUUCCAGCAUCCUUAAAAUCACUCCAGGUAUCUUGCCUGCAUGAACUCUGUUGGUCCCAGAUAAAAUGGCAAGAUGAGCAUACUAAAAUCUCAGGAAAAGGUAAAUUUUGACUCUGACGGGGCCUAGAAGAAGUGAUACUCCAAUAGCAAAGAUCAUGCUUAGUGCCAAGAUCUUGGUUUCUAAUACUAUUCUCCAAUAAAAGGAUGAAGGAUCCUUGGAGAAUUGGCUGAUUCUAUGACUGGAGAAGGAAAAAUACAAGAUGAGUCUGGAGCAUCUUGCAGGGCCAAAAAGUAAAGAUUUGCUUAAUAGAAAAAAAAAACACAUUAAUGGGAACAUAUCAAAGGGACAAACAAGCUAAUUGAAAGAGUUUUCAAUCACCAAUGAUGGAACAAGUUGAAUAACACAACAAAGUAGUAUUAGAUUGUAACUUAAGGUAUAAAAGAAGUCUCCAUGAU